GGAGAGAUGGCUCAGUGGUUAAGAGCACUGGCUGCUCUUCCAGAGGACCUGAGUUCAAAUCCCAGCAACUACA
rnacentral:tRNA from 1 species